rnacentral:rRNA from 1 species
GUGCCAGCCGCCGCGGUAAUACGUAGGUGGCAAGCGUUGUCCGGAAUUAUUGGGCGUAAAGCGCGCGCAGGCGGUCUCUUAAGUCUGAUGUGAAAGCCCCCGGCUCAACCGGGGAGGGUCAUUGGAAACUGGGAGACUUGAGGACAGAAGAGGAGAGUGGAAUUCCAAGUGUAGCGGUGAAAUGCGUAGAUAUUUGGAGGAACACCAGUGGCGAAGGCGGCUCUCUGGUCUGUUACUGACGCUGAGGCGCGAAAGCGUGGGGAGCAAACAGGAUUAGAUACCCUGGUAGUCCACGCCGUAAACGAUGAGUGCUAAGUGUUAGGGGGUUUCCGCCCCUUAGUGCUGCAGUUAACGCAUUAAGCACUCCGCCUGGGGAGUACGACCGCAAGGUUGAAACUCAAAGAAAUUGACGG